rnacentral:rRNA from 1 species
GCAUGGGGGCACCCUGACGCAGCAACGCCGCGUGAAGGAUGAAGGUUUNCGGAUUGUAAACUUCUUUUAUUAAGGACGAAAAUUGACGGUACUUAAUGAAUAAGCUCCGGCUAACUACGUGCCAGCAGCCGCGGUAAUACGUAGGGAGCAAGCGUUGUCCGGAUUUAUUGGGUUUAAAGGGAGCGUAGGCGGACGCUUAAGUCAGUUGUGAAAGUUUGCGGCUCAACCGUAAAAUUGCAGUUGAUACUGGGUGUCUUGAGUACAGUAGAGGCAGGCGGAAUUCGUGGUGUAGCGGUGAAAUGCUUAGAUAUCACGAAGAACUCCGAUUGCGAAGGCAGCCUGCUGGACUGUAACUGACGCUGAUGCUCGAAAGUGUGGGUAUCAAACAGGAUUAGAUACCCUGGUAGUCCAAGGGCGAAUUC